CAUUUGAUGUCUUAAUAAAAAUAAUUAAAAAUAAAAUGUAUUUUACUUUAUUUUAUUUUUUAAGCUAAGAUAUAUAUGAUGUCAGAUACUAUUUCAAAUCUCAAAAAAUAAUUGUUAAACUAAAUAAAAAAUGUGUAGAAAAUAGAGACUGUGAUUGACAUGUGUGUAAACCUAUCACUAUUCAGAAUGCGUCACACGGAACGACAGCGUUAAGCGGCAAAUUCAAAUCAGUAGCUUUUGAAAAUGGAUAUCAGACGCUGGUUAAAAACUAAUGGAAUUUAUCCGGAAAAAAAACCUGCAGUUACAGUUAGUAAGCCUAAAGUUAGCUUAAACCCUGACCGGGCUGAGCCUCUUGCUGGAGCUGGAUUUUCCCGUCUCCAGCUUUACUAGCAUCAAUCGGACCACUUUCAGAACUGAACAGGGUUUCCCGUGCAUCCUUUUUCCUCUCCACACAAAGUUCAACGUUCUCUCUCCCAUUGCACACACGCAUGCCCCGGCCGCUCCCGAGAGCACAGAGAGUGAACCGAUAAAAAAAUAAAAAUAAACACAACUUGUUAUGGUAA